UCUGCCUCAGAGAGUUUAGGGCUGCAUUAUGUACUGGGGGCAGGGCACAAGUUCAAGUCCUACCAAGUGCUAGGAGGGAUAACUGGGUGCUGAUGGCUGGUUGCCAGUCCAGGGCCACCUCUCGGAGAAGGUGGCAUCUUAGUUGAGAUCUGAAUGACAACAGCAGCGAAGAGAAAUGUUCAGAUGUCAAGAAAGGGCUGAGCACGUUCCCAGGAGAGAAGGGUACGCAUGGCUCCGGUGGGAAGGACAGGUGGACCUGGACACCAUGAGAAAUGGAAGUCCACGGACAAGUGUAAGCAGGCCUGGCAGCGAAGGUGUACAUGCCUGAGAACGGUCUCCGGCUGCUGAGGGAAGUGCCAUGCGCCUACUCUUCCCUCCUGCCUCCCCACUGGCUGGGGUGUGGAUGUGAACGUUCUGGACCUUUCCUUGGUCUGUGAGAAGCUGCAGUAAUGCCACUGUCUAAACUCCUGUGACUGGAAAAAGCCAUUGGGAAGAAGUCAUUCCUCACUCGCAAGGCGGCUGGCUGAUGUCAUCCAUAUAUGCCUUUAGAAACACAUGUACCUUGGCUGUCCCAUGAGCCAGUCCUCCCCUGAGUAGGUGCCACGCCCAACAUGAGGCUUGAACUCAGGACCCUGAGAUCAAGAGUCACAUGCUCUACCAACUGAGCCAGCCAGGCACCACUCUUCAUUACCUCUUCAAAGGCUCUAUAUCCAAAUAAAGUUCACACUGGGGAUUAGGGCUUUAGCAUAUGAAUUUGGAGGGACACAAUUCAGUCCAUAACAGAGUAAGUUACAGAAUAAAGCGGGGGUAAAGAUGUAGGUAACAAGAGGU